rnacentral:rRNA from 1 species
AGCAACAAAUGCCCUGCUUCCAGGAAAAGCCUCUAAGCAUCAGGUAACAUCAAAUCGUACCCCAAACCGACACAGGUGGUCAGGUAGAGAAUACCAAGGCGCUUGAGAGAACUCGGGUGAAGGAACUAGGCAAAAUGGUGCCGUAACUUCGGGAGAAGGCACGCUGACACGUAGGUGAAGUGAUUUACUCAUGGAGCUGAAGUCAGUCGAAGAUACCAGCUGGCUGCAACUGUUUAUUAAAAACACAGCACUGUGCAAACACGAAAGUGGACGUAUACGGUGUGACGCCUGCCCGGUGCCGGAAGGUUAAUUGAUGGGGUCAGCGCAAGCGAAGCUCCUGAUCGAAGCCCCGGUAAACGGCGGCCGUAACUAUAACGGUCCUAAGGUAGCGAAAUUCCUUGUCGGGUAAGUUCCGACCUGCACGAAUGGCGUAAUGAUGGCCAGGCUGUCUCCACCCGAGACUCAGUGAAAUUGAACUCGCUGUGAAGAUGCAGUGUACCCGCGGCAAGACGGAAAGACCCCGUGAACCUUUACUAUAGCUUGACACUGAACAUUGAGCCUUGAUGUGUAGGAUAGGUGGGAGGCUUUGAAGUGUGGACGCCAGUCUGCAUGGAGCCGACCUUGAAAUACCACCCUUUAAUGUUUGAUGUUCUAACGUGGACCCGUAAUCCGGGUUGCGGACAGUGUCUGGUGGGUAGUUUGACUGGGGCGGUCUCCUCCUAAAGAGUAACGGAGGAGCACGAAGGUUGGCUAAUCCUGGUCGGACAUCAGGAGGUUAGUGCAAUGGCAUAAGCCAGCUUGACUGCGAGCGUGACGGCGCGAGCAGGUGCGAAAGCAGGUCAUAGUGAUCCGGUGGUUCUGAAUGGAAGGGCCAUCGCUCAACGGAUAAAAGGUACUCCGGGGAUAACAGGCUGAUACCGCCCAAGAGUUCAUAUCGACGGCGGUGUUUGGCACCUCGAUGUCGGCUCAUCACAUCCUGGGGCUGAAGUAGGUCCCAAGGGUAUGGCUGUUCGCCAUUUAAAGUGGUACGCGAGCUGGGUUUAGAACGUCGUGAGACAGUUCGGUCCCUAUCUGCCGUGGGCGCUGGAGAACUGAGGGGGGCUGCUCCUAGUACGAGAGGACCGGAGUGGACGCAUCACUGGUGUUCGGGUUGUCAUGCCAAUGGCACUGCCCGGUAGCUAAAUGCGGAAGAGAUAAGUGCUGAAAGCAUCUAAGCACGAAACUUGCCCCGAGAUGAGUUCUCCCUGAGACUUAAAGUCUCCUGAAGGAACGUUGAAGACGACGACGUUGAUAGGCCGGGUGUGUAAGCGCA